GGUAGGGUGGCAAGCGUUGUCCGGAAUUAUUGGGCGUAAAGCGCGCGCAGGGCGGUUCGUUUAAGUCUGAUGUGAAAGCCCACGGCUCAACCGUGGAGGGUCAUUGGAAACCGGAGAACUUGAGUACAGAAGAGGAAAGCGGAAUUCCACGUGUAGCGGUGAAAUGCGUAGAGAUGUGGAGGAACACCAGUGGCGAAGGCGGCUUUCUGGUCUGUAACUGACGCUGAGGCGCGAAAGCGUGGGGAGCAAACAGGAUUAGAUACCCUGGUAGUCCACGCCGUAAACGAUGAGUGCUAAGUGUUAGGGGGGUUUCCGCCCCUUAGUGCUGCAGCUAACGCAUUAAGCACUCCGCCUGGGGAGUACGGCCGCAAGGCUG
rnacentral:rRNA from 1 species